AACGAACGCUGGCGGCAUGCCUAACACAUGCAAGUCGAACGAGACCUUCGGGUCUAGUGGCGCACGGGUGCGUAACGCGUGGGAACCUGCCCUUAGGUUCGGAAUAACUCCCCGAAAGGGGUGCUAAUACCGGAUAAUGUCUUCGGACCAAAGAUUUAUCGCCUUUGGAUGGGCCCGCGUUGGAUUAGCUAGUUGGUAGGGUAAAAGCCUACCAAGGCGACGAUCCAUAGCUGGUCUGAGAGGAUGAUCAGCCACACUGGGACUGAGACACGGCCCAGACUCCUACGGGAGGCAGCAGUGGGGAAUAUUGGACAAUGGGCCAAAGCCUGAUCCAGCAAUGCCGCGGGAGUGAUGAAGGCCUUAGGGUUGUAAAGCUCUUUUACCCGGGAUGAUAAUGACAGUACCGGGAGAAUAAGCACCGGCUAACUCCGUG
rnacentral:rRNA from 1 species